GUUUGAUCCUGGCUCAGAUUGAACGCUGGCGGCAUGCCUUACACAUGCAAGUCGAACGGUAACAGGCCGCUUGGUGCUGACAAGUGGGGAACGGGUGAGUAAUGCAUCGGAACGUGCCCAGUCGUGGGGGAUAACUGCUCGAAAGAGCAGCUAAUACCGCAUACGACCUGAGGGUGAAAGCGGGGGACCGAAAGGCCUCGCGCGAUUGGAGCGGCCGAUGUCAGAUUAGGUAGUUGGUGGGGUAAAGGCCUACCAAGCCGACGAUCUGUAGUUGGUCUGAGAGGACGACCAGCCACACUGGGACUGAGACACGGCCCAGACUCCUACGGGGGGCAGCAGUGGGGGAUUUUGGACAAUGGGGGCAACCCUGAUCCAGCAAUGCCGCGUGCAGGAAGAAGGCCUUCGGGUUGUAAACUGCUUUUGUCAGGGAAGAAAUCCUGUGGGUUAAUACCUCGUGGGGAUGACGGUACCUGAAGAAUAAGCACCGGCUAACUACGUGCCAGCAGCCGCGGUAAUACGUAGGGUGCGAGCGUUAAUCGGAAUUACUGGGCGUAAAGCGUGCGCAGGCGGUUUUGUAAGACAGAGGUGAAAUCCCCGGGCUCAACCUGGGAACUGCCUUUGUGACUGCAAGGCUGGAGUACGGCAGAGAGGGAUGGAAUUCCGCGUGUAGCAGUGAAAUGCGUAUAUAUGCGCAGGAACACCGAUGGCGAANGCAAUCCCCUGGGCCUGUACUGACGCUCAUGCACGAAAGCGUGGGGAGCAAACANGAUUAGAUACCCUGGUAGUCCACGCCCUAAACGAUGUCAACUGGUUGUUGGACGGCUUGCUGUUCAGUAACGAAGCUAACACGU
rnacentral:rRNA from 1 species